rnacentral:rRNA from 1 species
UACGGAGGAUGCAAGCGUUAUCCGGAAUUAUUGGGCGUAAAGAGCUCGUAGGCGGUUUGUCGCGUCUGCCGUGAAAGUCCGGGGCUCAACUCCGGAUCUGCGGUGGGUACGGGCAGACUAGAGUGAUGUAGGGGAGACUGGAAUUCCUGGUGUAGCGGUGAAAUGCGCAGAUAUCAGGAGGAACACCGAUGGCGAAGGCAGGUCUCUGGGCAUUAACUGACGCUGAGGAGCGAAAGCAUGGGGAGCGAACAGG